AGUUUAUUGGUAACACUUACAAAAUGUGACCACCUGACUCUAAUUAAGGCCCUCUGAUACUAUAAAAGGGCUCACUCCAGUCAGGCAGAGGAGAGCCAGAAGAAAGGAAGUGCAGCUGAAGGGCUGGUUAAUGAAGACACCCUCAAGCCGUUGGUAAGGGAGCCCUAAGGUGAGGCUGGCCGGAAAACAAUUGCUCCUCUUCGAUAUGGACUUUGACACAAUGAUCUAUGCUUUUGUUCCUCCCAGACUGAAUUUCUGGAGUGGGCUUUAUUUGGAUCUACCCUUGACAGUCCUCCGAGAGAACAGAAUGCAAUGGUUCAAUCUCAGAGAGACAUCACCGCUGUCUUCUCUAGGUUCGUCUUCAGCCACCUGUCUUUCAUUAAGCGGAGGGAUAGCUGGAAGAUGGUGCUGCUUGCAUCUGAGGAAAAAGAGAGAUAUGUCCUGUUGACCUCUGGAAAAUUUCCUCAAACUUAAUGUAGGUGAUUAAAAAAGAUAAGGAAGACAACUGAGAACUGAGCCAUGAGGAACUGCACAGGUGAACAUCUAGCACCACUAGAAAUCAAUCUACCCCACUCUGCGCUAACUGAAGUUCUGGAGUGGCUUUCGGAGGCAGCCUCAUGUUGAAUUAAUCCAAUAUGGAGGUUAAAAACUCAUGGAUAGUUGUGCUGACCUCUGCAUCAGAAA